rnacentral:rRNA from 1 species
UACGUAGGUGGCAAGCGUUAUCCGGAAUUACUGGGCGUAAAGCGCACGCAGGUGGUGCGUUAAGUCUGACGUGAAAGCUCCUGGCUUAACUGGGAGAGGUCGUUGGAGACUGGCGCGCUUGAGGCGAGGAGAGGGGUGUAGAAUUCCCGGUGUAGUGGUGGAAUGCGUAGAUAUCGGGAGGAAUACCAGUGGCGAAAGCGGCACCCUGGCCUUGGCCUGACGCUCAGGUGCGAAAGCGUGGGGAGCGAACGGG